rnacentral:lncRNA from 1 species
CUUUCACUUGGCUCUCGUUCUUUCUUGCCUGCCACAGUGUAAGAUACGCCUUUCUCCUUCUACCAUGAGUGUGAGGCCUCCACAGCCACAUGGAACUAUGGACAUCCUGAGGAGUGUGGCUGCCUUUGGGGUGAGCAACAGGCCUUGAAGAAGAGAAGCUGCUGGCCCUGAAUAUCAGGGGGCAGAGGCUUGUGGAGAACCACCCUCCAACCCUGGUGUGGGCAGAAGCAGCGAGCCGUGCUGAGAAGGUGGGUCAUUGGAGGAUGGGUGCUAACUAGGCAUCAGGUUUGUGGGCAUGAGUGGAAGGCAGGUGGAAGGGCUGCCAUCAGGAGGAGCAAGGUUUUAGAGGCCUUGGCAGCCAAGUAAUGGGCAUAAUCUUUAUUUGCUUUUAACAGAGUGAGAUAUAAUUUACAUGUCAUACAAUUGACCCAUUUAAAGAGUACAAUCUGUGUGUUCAGAAGUAUGGAACCAUCACCACCAUCAAUUUGGGGACCUUUUUAUCACCCCCAAAAGAAACCCCAUACCCAUUAGCACUCACUCCUCAUUUCCUUCUAACAAUUCUUCCCUAUACACCUCAACCCUAGGCAACCGUAAAUCUACUUUCUAUCUGUAUGGCUUUGCUUAUUUUGGACAUUAUACAGAAGUGGGAUCAUCCAAUAUGUGGUCUAUUAGUGACUGGCUUCUUUCGCUUUGUUUUCGACGUUUAUCCAUUUUGUGCC